rnacentral:lncRNA from 1 species
AACCAAUAUGUAAAAGUUGCAUUAUUCAUAAGUAAAAGUUCAGUGACCACUAGUGAUUUUAACCCAAUAUAAACAAACAUACAGAUACGAGAGCAACCAGCCGUUUAUAAAAAAUGUAAGCAACUAUAAUGUUAGCAAACCAAUAAAUAAAGCCAUUGGAAAGCCGCUGUCAACAAUUAUUUUCUAUCUUGUCUAAACAUCUCAACACUGGAUGUUNN